CGCAGCGGGGACCCGCGACUUGGUCCCCCGGGCCUGGGCACCCUCCGGUGCGCCUCCCGGCUCGCCUGUGUGUCCCGAGCGGCCAGACCCACGGGUACAACACGUUAUCCCGGGAAAAAUGUGGCUGGCGGUUGCCGAGUCCGAUUCCCUGUGGAGAGUUUGGCCGGAGUCCACGGCCCGACUUCUGCUCGCAUCGUUCCCCGGGACCCACGCUUCAACGUUCAACUCAAAUGUCAACGUCUCCUUCCAGCCUCAGCUGAGCCUCCCGGCCAGACUUGAUCCCACCCAGCCAGGGUCUCUGGCAAAUCCCUAACCUCGUGAAACCAGCUUCCGGCCUACACUGUCCACACCCUCUCCACCCAUCAGUGCUGGGAACAAACCACUCAGCCGUGCCGUCCGCUUCACUUCCUGUGCCUGGCGACCGACAAGGAAUCAUAGCAGUGCCAGACCUCCCACCACAGAUCCCAAUAGCUUCGCUUGUCCUACCCCCGAGACGGCUCACAACACCUCUUUCCUCAUUUCCUGCCUUCUCCAUUUACUUUGUUUCCUUGAAAGAGCUACAGAGAGAGAAAGGUCUUCGAUCCGCUGGUUCACUCCCCAGUUGGCCGCAACAGCUGAAACUGCACUGAUCCGAAGCCAGGAGCAGGAGCUUCUUCCGGUCUCCCACAUGGGUACAGGGUCCCAAGGACUUGGGCCAUCUUCUACUGCUUUCCCAGGCCAUAGCAGAGAGCUGGAUCAGAAGUGGAGCAGCCGGGACUCGAACCAGCACCCAUAUGGGAUGCCGGCACUGCAGGCGGCGGCUUUAUCCCACUACGCCACAGCACUGGCCCCAUAUCAUCUAUCUUAAGUAUUAAAAAACCAAAAAACCCACUUGGGUUUGUGCUCCUCCGAGUUCCUGCACCACCACAGCUCAGUUUCUCGAGUUGCCUGUGGUCAUGGCCUCUGCUUCCUUCCCACCUAUUCUUUCUUCAACCAAAUGUGGCCUUCAUCCCCCCUUGUCUCCACUUGGUCUCAUCGAGGCCACCAAGGGCACGAUGCCACUUCCAGACUCUAUUACGAGGGGUUGAACUGUGCCCCAGAAGGUGUUGGGGUCCUAACCUGCAGGGCCUGUGCAGGUGACCCUAUGUGGAAGCAGAUCCUUUGCAGGUGAUCCCGUUAAGAUGAGGUCAUUAGGGUGGGCCCUAGUCCAGAAUGACAGUGUCCCCCUCAAAGGGGGAAAGCUAGCCCCAGCCCCGCACGUGCACACAGGGAGGAUGUGACGUGAACGAGACAGCAGA